GUGGGGAAUAUUGGACAAUGGGCGAAAGCCUGAUCCAGCAAUGCCGCGUGAGUGAUGAAGGCCCUAGGGUUGUAAAGCUCUUUUACCCGGGAUGAUAAUGACAGUACCGGGAGAAUAAGCUCCGGCUAACUUCGUGCCAGCAGCCGCGGUAAUACGAGGGGAGCUAGCGUUGUUCGGAAUUACUGGGCGUAAAGCGCGCGUAGGCGGUUUUUUAAGUCAGAGGUGAAAGCCCGGGGCUCAACCCCGGAAUUGCCUUUGAAACUGGAAAACUAGAAUCUUGGAGAGGUCAGUGGAAUUCCGAGUGUAGAGGUGAAAUUCGUAGAUAUUCGGAAGAACACCAGUGGCGAAGGCGACUGACUGGACAAGUAUUGACGCUGAGGUGCGAAAGCGUGGGGAGCAAACAGGAUUAGAAACCCCAGUAGUCC
rnacentral:rRNA from 1 species